AUGGCAUUCAUCCUCCUGGGAGAAGACACUGCUGUGCAGGUGGGCAGAUGUGCAGGUGUCCAGGUGUGGAGGUGGGUGGGUGUGCAGAUGGGCAGGUGGGCAGGUGUGCAGGUGGGCAGGUGGGCAGGUGUGCAGAUGGGCAGAUGGGCAGGUGGGCAGGUAUGCAGGUAUGCAGGUGGGCAGGUUCACAGAUGGGCAGGUGUGCAGAUGCGCAGGUAUGCAGGUGUGCAGGUAGGCAGGUGCCCGGAUGUGCAGGUGCGCAGAUGGGCAGGUGUGCAGAUGCGCAGGUAUGCAGGUGCGCAGGUAGGCAGGUGCCCGGGUGGGCAGGUGGGCAGGUGGGCAGGUGCCUGGGUGUGCAGGUGGGCAGGUGUGCAGAUGGGCAGAUGGGCAGGUGGGCAGGUAGGCAGGUAUGCAGGUGGGCAGGUUCACAGAUGGGCAGGUGUGCAGAUGCGCAGGUAUGCAGGUGUGCAGGUAGGCAGGUGCCCGGAUGUGCAGGUGCGCAGAUGGGCAGGUGUGCGAAUGUGCAGGUAUGCACGUGCGCAGGUAGGCAGGUGCCCGGGUGGGCAGGUGGGCAGGUGGGCAGGUGGGCAGAUGUGCAGGUGGGCAGGUGCGCAGGUAGGCAGGUAUGCAGGUGGGCAGGUGUGCAGGUGGGCAGGUGCCUGGGUGUGCAGGUGGGCAGGUGUGCAGAUGGGCAGAAGGGCAGGUGGGCAGGUAGGCAGGUAUGCAGGUGGGCCGGUUCACAGAUGGGCAGGUGGGCAGGUAUGCAGGUGUGCAGGUAGGCAGGUGCCCGGGUGUGCAGGUGGGCAGGUGGGCGGGUGGGCAGGUGGGCGGGUGGGCAGGUGGGCGGGUGGGCAGGUGGGCGGGUGGGCAGGUGGGCAGGUGUGCAGAUGCGCAGGUGUGCAGAUGCGCAGGUGUGCAGGUGCGCAGGUGGGCAGGUGUGCAGGUGGCCAGAAGAGGGGCCUCAUCUCAGACGCAGCCCCCAGGGGUGCAGCCAGGUGCGUGCAGGGGUGGUGGGGGAUGACACCUCUGUAGGUCUGGCUCCUACGUCCCUCCCCUCCUCCACUGGGGCAGAGCCGGUGCAGCCCCUGCGUACCCCCUCCGUCCUCCCUUCCCUAGAGACCUCGCGUCUGCCCCAGGCCGACCCUCCGUCACCUGUGUGCAUCAGGAACCCGCCUCUCAGGACCAGCCGUUUGCAAUCGGCUGUCUGUCUGGAGAAGCUGGGCUUUGCUGAGACCUACACCUUUCUGUGGCUGUUUCCAGGGCUUGCCCACACCUUCCCGCGGAACCCAAGGCUGAUGGCUGUGUUUUUUUCUGGUUUCACUAAAGAUG
rnacentral:lncRNA from 1 species